rnacentral:rRNA from 1 species
UACGUAGGGUCCGAGCGUUGUCCGGAAUUAUUGGGCGUAAAGAGCUCGUAGGCGGUUUGUCACGUCUGCUGUGAAAUCCCGAGGCUCAACCUCGGGCCUGCAGUGGGUACGGGCAGACUGGAGUGCGGUAGGGGAGAAUGGAAUUCCUGGUGUAGCGGUGGAAUGCGCAGAUAUCAGGAGGAACACCGAUGGCGAAGGCAGUUCUCUGGGCCGUAACUGACGCUGAGGAGCGAAAGCGUGGGGAGCGAACAGG